AGAGUUUGAUCCUGGCUCAGAACGAACGCUGGCGGCGUGCUUAACACAUGCAAGUCGAACGGGGUUAUACGGAGAAAUUGGUUUCGGCUGGUGGAUUUGUAUAACUUAGUGGCGGACGGGUGAGGGACACGUAGGUAACCAAUCCUGAAGCGGGGGACAACUGCGGGAAACCGGAGCUAAUACCGCAUAAGACCACAGGCUGGAAGGCUGGUGGUAAAAGGAGCAAUUCACUUCAGGCUGGGCCUGCGGCCUAUCAGGUAGUUGGUGGGGUAAGAGCCUACCAAGCCAGAGACGGGUAGCCGGACUGAGAGGUUGAACGGCCACACUGGAACUGAGACACGGUCCAGACUCCUACGGGAGGCAGCAGUGGGGAAUUUUGCGCAAUGGGGGAAACCCUGACGCAGCGACGCCGCGUGGAGGAUGAAGGUUUUCGGAUUGUAAACUCCUUUUGUAGGGGAAAAUAGUGAUGGUACCCUACGAAUAAGCCACGGCUAACUCUGUGCCAACAGCCGCGGUAAGACAGAGGUGGCAAGCGUUGUUCGGAAUUACUGGGCUUAAA
rnacentral:rRNA from 1 species